GUCCCCAUCGUCUAGCUUGGCCCAGGACACCGGCCUUUCACGCCGGCGACAGGGGUUCAAAUCCCCUUGGGGACGCCA
rnacentral:tRNA from 1 species